AGGGUUUGAUUAUGGCUCAGAACGUACGCUGGCGGCACGCCUAACACAUGCAAGUCGAACGAAGUGGCAAUACUUAGUGGCAGACGGGUGAGUAACAUGUAGGUAUCUGCCCUUUGGCCUGGAAUAACACGAGGAAACUUGUGCUAAUACCGGAUAAGUCUUUACGGAGAAAGCUUUAUGCACCAUUGGAUGAGCCUGCACUUGAUUAGUUUGUUGGUGGGGUAAUGGCCUACCAAGACUGUGAUCAAUAGCUGAUUUGAGAGGAUGAUCAGCCACAUUGGGACUGAGACACGGCCCAAACUCCUACGGGAGGCAGCAGUGGGGAAUCUUGCACAAUGGAGGAAACUCUGAUGCAGCGAUGCCGCGUGAGUGAAGAAGGCCCUUGGGUUGUAAAGCUCUUUCGUCGGGGAAGAAAAUGACUGUACCCGAAUAAGAAGGUCCGGCUAACUUCGUGCCAGCAGCCGCGGUAAUACGAAGGGACCUAGCGUAGUUCGGAAUUACUGGGCUUAAAGAGUUCGUAGGUGGUUGAAAAAGUUAGUGGUGAAAUCCCAGAGCUUAACUCUGGAACUGCCAUUAAAACUUUUCAGCUAGAGUAUGAUAGAGGAAAGCAGAAUUUCUAGUGUAGAGGUGAAAUUCGUAGAUAUUAGAAAGAAUACCAAUUGCGAAGGCAGCUUUCUGGAUCAUUACUGACACUGAGGAACGAAAGCAUGGGUAGCGAAGAGGAUUAGAUACCCUCGUAGUCCAUGCCGUAAACGAUGUGUGUUAGACGUUGGAAAUUUAUUUUCAGUGUCGCAGGGAAACCGAUAAACACACCGCCUGGGGAGUACGACCGCAAGGUUAAAACUCAAAUGAAUUGACGGGGACCCGCACAAGUAGUGGAGCAUGUGGUUUAAUUCGAAGAUACGCGCAGAACCUUACCAACACUUGACAUGUUCGUCGCGACUCUAAGAGAUUAGAGUUUUCGGUUCGGCCGGACGAAACACAGGUGCUGCAUGGCUGUCGUCAGCUCGUGUCGUGAGAUGUUGGGUUAAGUCCCGCAACGAGCGCAACCCCCACUUUUAGUUGCCAUCAUUAAGUUGGGCACUCUGAAAGAACUGCCAGUGAUAAGCUGGAGGAAGGUGGGGAUGACGUCAAGUCCUCAUGGCCCUUACGUGUUGGGCUACACACGUGCUACAAUGGUAUCUACAACAGGAAGCAAGACUGCGAAGUUAAGCAAAUCCCUAAAAGAUACCUCAGUUCGGAUUGCACUCUGCAACUCGAGUGCAUGAAGCUGGAAUUACUAGUAAUCGUGGAUCAGCGUGCCACGGUGAAUGCGUUCCCGGGUCUUGUACACACCGCCCGUCACACCAUGGGAGUUGGUUCUACCUUAAGGCAAGGUUUUAAACCCUUGACCACGGUAUAGUCAGCGACUGGGGUGAAGUCGUAACAAGGUAGCC
rnacentral:rRNA from 2 species